CUGAUAGUAAGCUUCCUGAUAAUCAAGCUGGUUAUGAGAAAGCUAUCAAUUUAACACUGGCUGUGCAAACUGGCGCUAAUCUUAUU
rnacentral:ncRNA from 1 species